UGUAGAAGGCAACAGUCGUAACUGCGUGGCCAGCAGGCUGGGGUAAUUACGGUAGUGGGCAAGCGUUUAAUCGGAAUUUCUGGGACGUAAAGCGCGCGCAGGGCGGUUUAUUAAGUUCGGAUGUAAAAUCCCCGAGCUUCAACGUGGAAGCUGCAUUCGAAACUGGCAGACUAGAGUCAUGGUAGAGGGAAGGUAGAAUUCCAGGUGUAGCGGUGAAAUGCGUAGAGAUAUGGAGGAAUACCGGUGGCGAAGGCGGCCCUCUGGACUAAGACUGACGCUCAGGUGCGAAAGCAUGGGGAGCAAACAGGAUUAGAUACCCUGGUAGUCCACGCCGUAAACGAUGUCUACUAGGAGGUGGUGCCUUUGAGGCGUUACUUCCGGAGCUAACGCGAUAAGUCGACCGCCUGGGGAGUACGGCCGCAAGGUUAAAACUCAAAUGAAUUGACGGGGGCCCGCACAAGCGGUGGAGCAUGUGGUUUAAUUCGAUGCAACGCGAAGAACCUUACCUACUCUUGACAUCCAGAGAACUUUCCAGAGAUGGAUUGGUGCCUUCGGGAACUCUGAGACAGGUGCUGCAUGGCUGUCGUCAGCUCGUGUUGUGAAAUGUUGGGUUAAGUCCCGCAACGAGCGCAACCCUUAUCCUUUGUUGCCAGCGGUUCGGCCGGGAACUCAAAGGAGACUGCCAGUGAUAAACUGGAGGAAGGUGGGGAUGACGUCAAGUCAUCAUGGCCCUUACGAGCAGGGCUACACACGUGCUACAAUGGUGCAUACAAAGGGAAGCGACCUAGCGAGAGCAAGCGGACCUCAAAAAGUGCGUCGUAGUCCGGAUUGGAGUCUGCAACUCGACUCCAUGAAGUCGGAUCGCUAGUAAAUCGUGAUCAGAAUGCCACGGUAAAUACGUCCCGGGCCCUGUACAACCCCCCCCUCCACCCCAUGGAGUUUGGUGCCCCAGGAGGAAGUUACCUA
rnacentral:rRNA from 1 species